rnacentral:rRNA from 1 species
ACGUGGGAACAUGCCUUUCGGUACGGAACAACUUCGGGAAACUGAAGCUAAUGCCGUAUGCGCCCUUACGGGAAAGAUUUAUCGCCGAAAGAUUGGCCCGCGUCUGAUUAGCUAGUUGGUGAGGUAACGGCUCACCAAGGCUUCGAUCAGUAGCUGGUUUGAGAGAACGACCAGCCACACUGGGACUGAGACACGGCCCAGACUCCUACGGGAGGCAGCAGUGGGGAAUCUUGGACAAUGGGGGAAACCCUGAUCCAGCCAUGCCGCGUGAGUGAUGAAGGCCUUCGGUUGUAAAACUCU